ensembl:lncRNA
AUUGGUCAGACCAUAGCUAGCUAUAGAAGACAGCGCGCUAGCGUAUCUAGUCUUUUAUGUAGCUAUGGUCGGCACGUCUGGUAGCAUCUCUGGCUGCUGCUGAUCUUGUUUUUGGAGUAAAACACGGUGGAAGCUGAAUUAGUGAGGAUGACUCCUGCUCCUGUCAUCUCUAAGCUCCUCACACAUCUUUACCUGCACAUGAGGAAAAUCACUCCUGUAGAAUGCAGAUGUUCAGAGGGAGAUGAUGCCACAUCUGGUCCAGCUGAUGGAAGGUCUUGAAGUUCUCUGACUGGCCUCGACUGAAGAUGGUCGUCUCACUGGAUUUAAGGUUCAGAUGCUCAGUAACAAACUCCACCAAUGAGCCAACAGGGAAGCUUUAGGUUUAUUAAAUGUUGCUAUGAAGGUAUCGCUGUUUUUCUUUGUGAAUGCAAUGUGCUUCAACUGAAAGUUGAAUUAGAACUUAGAAGUAAAUCCUUCCAUCUGAAAGGAUUUAUUUGCAUUAAUAACCUCAUAACAUUCUAAUUUUUAUUCCAGUCUUGGUUGGAAAUAGAAUCUCUGUAUUGAUUCAGGUAAAAACUGAACUUCACAGCAUGUUGGAGCAAAACAACCAGAUGAAAACUGUGAUGGUGUUGGAUUGUCAGACCGUAAUGUUGCAGCUCAAAGCAGCUUUUCUAGCUCAGUUCAUUCUGACAUUCAGCUCUGAAUCAACACAGCAGAUGGUGAUCCAUGCUGUGGAAGUCUCACAUCUCCUGAUUUAAUGGAGCUGCUUUGCACUUUUUACACUGUUUAUUCACCAACACUUUAUUUAAUACAAGUCCCAUCUAGUUUUUAUGAGGAUUGUGAUGUUUUAAUUUCUCUGUGAAUAACUGCAGUCUAAUGUAACAGCUGGAGUUGUAACAUCUGUCCUGAUAUUGAUCAUGAAGUAUUUAUCAGAAUACUUAUGGUCAGCAGUCAUCCCUGAAGUUUUACAUUAAAAUCUUUACUUGUGUUGUGAACUUUGGUAAGAAGCAGAAACUUUAGCGUUGCCAUGGAUACAUGAGUGUUAAAUUCUGUCCAUGUUUCCAUUUUGGGAAAUGCAGUCCAGUUCCAGAAUGUGGAGGACUUUAGUCUCACAAUCACAGACAGCAAAUAUUAUCUGAAAGUCGGGUUAUUGUUGUUUAUCAGCACAAUACAAAAAGAUUAAUGUCAGAAAUAUUCCAGUUAAGACUCUAGAAUAUCAUGAUUUAUGUAAAUUUACCUCAAUAAUAUGAAUGUUCAGGUUAAGAUUGUACAGUGAUAUUUAUUAUGUAAGUUUAGCUGAUUAAAGUUUAUGACUCUGCACUAAAAUGUUAUUUAAAUUGACAUCAUUAUUAUAAUAUUUAGGGUCAGACCCUACAGUAUUGAGAUUAAGAAAUUAAAUAUUCUAUAAAAUGUAAAUACACUGAACUCAUUUGUAUAUAUUUAAGUGAGAAUCUACAAUAUUAUUUGACACAUCUAUCUAAAUCAAAAUUUUAAUAAUUUUCACGCCAAACAUUUACUGGACUGAUUUAAGCAUUAAAAUCACUCCUUUCUAAUCCUCUGCUGUACAUUCAAACCCGAGGCCUUAAAUAGAAACACACAAGUAUCUGAUUGAAGGAACUUCUGUAGAGUCCUGGUUCCAGAACAUGAUGAUGGAAUUAUAGACAAACUUUAACAAAAGCUGCCUGAGAGUUUACAGGUUUUUAUGUUGGAUUUCUUCAGUAAUUUAAUGAGAGUUAUCAGCAAUAAUCAAGUGUUCAUUUGAUGAACUUCAUUUCCUGAAACAUCCAGAAUUGGAGCUCAUAUCUUUGGCAGCUGUAAAGUUUCUGCUCCUUCAAAGUUCACAACACAAUGAAUUAAUUCCUAAAACACUCUCAAUGCUGGAGAGCGUUUGAUGCUGAAGCACUGAUCAGUUUUUCUGUUUCUUCUCUGGAGAUGCACAAUGAGGGACGUCUGCAGAGACUGAGAAAGAGUCUCACCACAUCCUGACAUGAGGAAAGAGACUUUAUUGAAGACUACAAUGAGAAAAACUAUCAGACAGCAGACGGCUGCAUUCAAGUCUGUAGCUGCUGAAUUCAUGGAUGAAUCAUCUGGUACUAGAGAAGAAGACCAUCAAACAUCCACGUCAGCUGAUGGAGGUCCAAGAGUCUCACCGAACAACCAACCUACAGAGUGAAGACCUUAAAUCUGAUUGGACAGCCUCCUAUUCAGCCACAUGUGUGAACAAAUGCCUCUAAGCUGAUUUGUUUUCUAAAAUAAAUCUAGUUUGAGUCCUAAUCUAUGCCUGUGUGUUUGCUUCUUUACACUGCUGUUAACAGUUUAGGCUGUUAGAUUGUUCCAGAUAAGACAAGUACAAGAUUCUUCAGAGCCGUUCUACCACGAGCCUGACAGGAAGAACUCCAACAGCUACUGAAUGUUCCUGUGGUCCCCUCAAGGCUACAGGAGGAGUCCUACGAGGACGAGCCGGUCCACCUGAUGGCGGCCAGUCGCUGCGGUUCAAAGCCAACACCGACUACGUGGACUUCUACUGGACCACACAGAGGCCUUCAAACCGGACCAACAAGUUCAGCGACUCCCCGACUCGUGGGUCUGAGGACGCCGCCGAGCCUCGGCCCAGCCGGCCUCCUGUCUGUGGGUGUUUGAGUGCUGAGAGGUUUGUGGAUGCAUGUGAACGUGUCUGUGUUGAAACAGCAGCUUUUGACUCACUAACGCCGGGAAAAACCAAGAGCUCCUUUAUUUGUGACUUCCACUAAAAAAACUGAUGAAAAUAAGUUUGCCAGGGUUCUGACUGAUAACAGAUUAUUAAAUAAUGAAAAUAAUCGUUUAAAUAUUCCUUUAAACAAUCCUUUUAGG